rnacentral:rRNA from 1 species
UACGUAGGGGGCAAGCGUUGUCCGGAUUUAUUGGGCGUAAAGAGCGUGUAGGCGGCUAGGUAGGUCCGUUGUGAAAACUCGAGGCUCAACCUCGAGACGUCGAUGGAAACCAUCUAGCUAGAGUCCGGAAGAGGAGAGUGGAAUCCUGGUGUAGCGGUGAAAUGCGCAGAUAUCAGGAAGAACACCCGUGGCGAAGGCGGUUCUCUGGGCAUUACCUGACGCUGAGGAGCGAAAGCAUGGGGAGCGAACAGG